GUGAGUGUGGCUGAACGGUUGAAAGCACCUGACUGUAAAUCAGGCUCGAAAGACGUGGUGGUUCGAAUCCAUCCACUCACA
rnacentral:tRNA from 1 species